UUGGAUCUGUGAAAAAUCUAAUAAUUGAAGGGUAGUUUCUUUGAGAUUCAUUAAAAUAUUUGAUAUUAUUCCUGUUGCAAUAUUGGAGCCUGCAGAGUUCAAAGGGUUAAACUAUACCGAUUCGAACGAAACGUACAGCAGCGCCCAGAAGAUCGGGUCCUCGUACAUGUUGUACUUGUUGUGCUGAUCUCGGACCUUCAGGAUAGACGAGUGUCUGGCCGCGAGGUCGCUGGCGGCUAGCCUCGCUAUCACCGAGACGUCCGACGCGGCGCACGAGAAAGUUUCAGGUAACGUGGAAAUUAUAACGUGGAAGAACUGGGAAGAGAUUCUGCUCGCUUUUACCACUGGCGACACGGAGGCGUUUAUCGAGAUCGUCAUCAUGUAGAAGCCGAGCUUGUACGGCGGCUUCACCGUCAUCGACUCGCUCCAGAAGUUGUUCUCGACGCACUCCGUCGAGGAGCCGACGUAGUACGAGUUUCCCCAGAAGAAGCUGUUCGUGUAGCGGCCCGAGGCGUCGUCCACUGCGAAACGAACGGAGGUGAACAAGGUUUAGGACGGUGUUUCAUAAUGUGAGGCCGUUGUAGGGUAAUUUGAUUUUUAAUGGGGUAAUUUGAAAUUUGAAAGGUCACUUUGUGUGUUUCGUGAUAGUCACGCAGGAUAGAAUA